GGAGGCUAUUUUGUGUGUUUUGGGGUGUUCUCUUGUAUUGAGGGGUGCUGGUUGGCCACAGUUUUAUUUUUUUCCUUUGUCUUUUAGCUUUGUUUUGCUUUGAUGGCUUUUAUCUUGAGCACUUUCUGCCUUUCUUUGUGGCGCCGUUGUGUGGCAGCCUGUGUCUUUUGUAUACCCACUCUGUGGUAUGAAUACUGCUGGGCCCUGAAUUUCCCCACCCCUGGGGAUCAAUAAAUAUUCAAUCAAUCAAUCAAUCAAUCAAAACGAUAAAUCACGGCAGAUUUUUAAUCCCGCUAAUCAACGAUGCCCUUUCAACCGACACGCAAAGACACAAGCAGUCAUUUCACACAGCCCGUCGGCCGGCCGGCCCGUCGGGGUCCCCGCCCCGCCGGAGCUGUAAUUAGCGCCGGCAUGCGGGGGAACCGCCAAACGGCGACAGGCCCCCUGCUGCGGGCCUGAGGCCACAUCUUAAGGGGGCGGCGGCCCUCCGUGACCUUUCUCAGGCACCAAAGAUCCAACAUUUCACACAAAGAUACAAAAAUCGCCCGGUGUCAGAGUGGAGCUGCGAGCCAGCAGGCCAAAACGUCCGCAUCAUCUGCCGGCAGAUUACAGAUCGGAUAAAUCAGCAGCCAACUGGGGGAUGGGGUCUCAGACCAGAGACAUCAACGUGCCAGAGAAAUGGUGUCAAGCAAAAAGUGUCUGCAAAUAGCAGCUUGGAAAAUCAUUUGCAAUGACUUCAUGACUCGGAUCAUAACGUGACUUUGGGCCAAUUGAAAUCACGGACAAAUGCAACUUUGGACCCGCUGGGCCACGAACCCGACUCGUUGCUUUUCAAAUUUGAAACGACAUCAUCAUCAUCAUCAUCGCGACGCGUCUGCUGUCAAAACACACAAAAGCUUUGUCUGGCCUGACCCGCUUGUGACCCGCUUAAUCCUCAAAGAUUAUUCCUCAGCGUCUGCCAUAAUUCAUGUCUGGCACGCACACGCACACGCACACGCACUCAGUGGCAAGUUAAAGUGUGACAUAUUGGCUAGGUAUGUGGAGGACAUGUUGCUGCAGGUUGAUUCUGCUGACCCUCAUUUCCCCGGAUAGAUCUUAUCACAACACAAAAGGCCCCUGAUGAAACAAAAUAGAAGCCUGAACUAUUCCUUCCGUUUGAAAAGGUUGCAAUCAAAAGCCCAUCUUGCUUUCCGUGCCUACGCAAACACCAACUUGUCAAUGAGUGGCUGCAAAAGUCAGCGGGAAAAGGCAUUCACAUUCCAACCAGUUAGCGACAAUCUGCUCUGCUAACGUAUUAGCAUUCAUGGCUGACUGACACAGAUUGAAUUUGAGUCAUUAGCGCUAAUUGAAUCAAGUUGCCGAUUUAAUGAGCCAAUUGACCUCUCAUGGUUGCCGCACCACUGCCGCUUUGCUAAAUAUAGAAAGCGCAAACAUACGGGUGCGCACAAUCGCAGCAAAGUCAACGGUGCAAUGUGGAGGAGGAGUUGACCUUUGACCUUUAGCAUACAAAACGGCCACUGCCCUCAUCAUCAUAUGAGAAGGUAGAGAGUUAGCAGAAAACGAACUCACACUGUGGUAACGCAAACCAGAGGCGCACACUCAGCUCAUACACCCACAACGCCCUCGUGUGGCGCUAUAGGAAAUGACAUCAAUAAAAGACGAGAAGAAA